UACGGAGGGAGCUAGCGUUGUUCGGAAUUACUGGGCGUAAAGCGCACGUAGGCGGCUUUGUAAGUUAGAGGUGAAAGCCCGGAGCUCAACUCCGGAAUUGCCUUUAAGACUGCAUCGCUUGAAUCCGGGAGAGGUGAGUGGAAUUCCGAGUGUAGAGGUGAAAUUCGUAGAUAUUCGGAAGAACACCAGUGGCGAAGGCGGCUCACUGGUCCGGUACUGACGCUGAGGUGCGAAAGCGUGGGGAGCAAACAGG
rnacentral:rRNA from 1 species